rnacentral:rRNA from 1 species
UUUAAUUAUCAUAUAUAAAAGUGAAAAUAUAAAAUAUAAAUUAAUUUUAGUUGGGGCAACUGGGAGGGAUAAAAAUCUUUUAUUAAAUCAUUUAUAGUAAUAUUUAUAUUUAUGAUCCAAAUUAGUUAAUUUUGAACUUAGAAU